rnacentral:rRNA from 1 species
AGAGUUUGAUCAUGGCUCAGAACGAACGCUGGCGGCAGGCCUAACACAUGCAAGUCGAGCGCUACCUUCGGGUGGAGCGGCGGACGGGUUAGUAACGCGUGGGAAUAUACCCAGUUCUAAGGAAUAGCCACUGGAAACGGUGAGUAAUACCUUAUACGCCCUUCGGGGGAAAGAUUUAUCGGAAUUGGAUUAGCCCGCGUUAGAUUAGAUAGUUGGUGGGGUAAUGGCCUACCAAGUCUACGAUCUAUAGCUGGUUUGAGAGGAUGAUCAGCAACACUGGGACUGAGACACGGCCCAGACUCCUACGGGAGGCAGCAGUGGGGAAUCUUAGACAAUGGGCGAAAGCCUGAUCUAGCCAUGCCGCGUGAGUGAUGAAGGCCCUAGGGUSGUAAAGCUCUUUCAACUGUGAAGAUAAUGACGGUAGCAGUAGAAGAAACCCCGGCUAACUCCGUGCCAGCAGCCGCGGUAAUACGGAGGGGGUUAGCGUUGUUCGGAAUUACUGGGCGUAAAGCGUACGUAGGCGGAUUAAUAAGUUAGAGGUGAAAUCCCAGGGCUCAACCCUGGAACUGCCUUUAAAACUGUUAGUCUUGAGAUCGAGAGAGGUGAGUGGAAUUCCAAGUGUAGAGGUGAAAUUCGUAGAUAUUUGGAGGAACACCAGUGGCGAAGGCGGCUCACUGGCUCGAUACUGACGCUGAGGUACGAAAGGGUGGGGAGCAAACAGGAUUAGAUACCCUGGUAGUCCACACCGUAAACGAUGAAUGCCAGACGUCAGCAAGCAUGCUUGUUGGUGUCACACCUAACGGAUUAAGCAUUCCGCCUGGGGAGUACGGUCGCAAGAUUAAAACUCAAAGGAAUUGACGGGGGCCCGCACAAGCGGUGGAGCAUGUGGUUUAAUUCGACGCAACGCGCAGAACCUUACCAACCCUUGACAUACUUGUCGCGGAUUCCAGAGAUGGAUUCCUUCAGUUCGGCUGGACAAUGUACAGGUGCUGCAUGGCUGUCGUCAGCUCGUGUCGUGAGAUGUUCGGUUAAGUCCGGCAACGAGCGCAACCCACGUCCUUAGUUACCAGCAUUUAGUUGGGUACCCUAAGGAGACUGCCGGUGAUAAGCCGGAGGAAGGUGUGGACGACGUCAAGUCAUCAUGGCCCUUACGGGUUGGGCUACACACGUGCUACAAUGGCAUCUACAGUGAGUUAAUCUCCAAAAGAUGUCUCAGUUCGGAUUGGGGUCUGCAACUCGACCCCAUGAAGUUGGGAUCGCUAGUAAUCGCGGAACAGCAUGCCGCGGUGAAUACGUUCCCGGGCCUUGUACACACCGCCCGUCACAGCCAUGGGAGUGGGUUGCUCCAGAAGUGGUUAGUCUAACCUUCGGGAGGACGAUCACCACGGAGUGAUUCAUGAGCUGGGGUGAAGUCGUAAC